UCCUGUACACAUAUAAUCUCAGGCGUGAUGACAUAGAUCCGAAGCUGGAUGAAGCCCGCACUCAUGUGCAAAACUGCCGACGUUGCCUCUGAGCGCUAUCAUCAUGUGUCCAUCCUAGGAUCCUGUUACCCAUGACCCGAUCCCCGGAUCAUCUCGACACGUUCCUCGCAGUGAUUAACGCUCAGGAUAACACUUUCUAUAAGCAUUCACAUUACCUUUAACAUCCGGUUUAAUCUGAACAAUGGUCUGCAUCCGAAAAUGACGUACAGAAGAUCAAAUGGUAUCACAGAUGCUACAUCAAGCUGUGAAACAACACAACAUUGCUUAGCUCUCCCAUUACAGCGCACAGAUGACAUUAUGAAUGUACUGGACAGGAUUCAUAGUUGUCUCAGGAUGAUUUAGAAUAAAGGUUCCCAUUCUUGUAGUGUAAUCCUUAAUCCUAGUCGGCCGGUUGAAGCGCUGCAGCCUGAAAUGACACUAUUGCCUGAAGGAUAUUCCCCUGUGUUUGUCUGUCCGUUCGGGAAUGCACUACAUUAUUUGUCUAUUUCAUGAAUAAAGAUACCUGAAUUG